GACCGGCGCACGGGUGAGUAACACGUAUCCAACCUGCCGUCUACUCUUGGACAGCCUUCUGAAAGGAAGAUUAAUACAAGAUGGCAUCAUGAGUCCGCAUGUUCACAUGAUUAAAGGUAUUCCGGUAGACGAUGGGGAUGCGUUCCAUUAGAUAGUAGGCGGGGUAACGGCCCACCUAGUCUUCGAUGGAUAGGGGUUCUGAGAGGAAGGUCCCCCACAUUGGAACUGAGACACGGUCCAAACUCCUACGGGAGGCAGCAGUGAGGAAUAUUGGUCAAUGGGCGAGAGCCUGAACCAGCCAAGUAGCGUGAAGGAUGACUGCCCUAUGGGUUGUAAACUUCUUUUAUAAAGGAAUAAAGUCGGGUAUGGAUACCCGUUUGCAUGUACUUUAUGAAUAAGGAUCGGCUAACUCCGUGCCAGCAGCCGCGGUAAUACGGAGGAUCCGAGCGUUAUCCGGAUUUAUUGGGUUUAAAGGGAGCGUAGAUGGAUGUUUAAGUCAGUUGUGAAAGUUUGCGGCUCAACCGUAAAAUUGCAGUUGAUACUGGAUAUCUUGAGUGCAGUUGAGGCAGGCGGAAUUCGUGGUGUAGCGGUGAAAUGCUUAGAUAUCACGAAGAACUCCGAUUGCGAAGGCAGCCUGCUAAGCUGCAACUGACA
rnacentral:rRNA from 1 species